AUCUAAACCCUAUUGCAGCGGCAUCCCCAAAUUUCAAUUUGGGAUAUAGCGGAAAGAGGGACCGAAC
rnacentral:sRNA from 1 species